GGACUCUCUCGCUUCAGAACCUCCUCGUCCUUCUUGAUGGACAGACCCCCAAAGAACACAGCCACCUAGAGAACAGACCAGAGGAGAGGAGCAUCCCUCUGAGAGGGCUAAUGAUGGAAAAGGACUGUUUCUAUAGGAGCUGCUCUUUAAUACUGCAGGCAUUGAAAAGCAUGUGCAUCAUGUGUGCUACAGAAUAACAGCUGUGGCUCACUGAAUCAUAUAAGACAAUACUUCUAUCAGUACACUGCUAGUGUGCUCUGAGCGCUUACUUCCGUGGUGCCCACUUUUCGA